GUAGGUGAACCUGCGGAAGGAUCAUUACCAAAUCCAAAACCUUAUCAACACCUAAACAUGUGCACUGAGAGUGGUCCGUUCUCCCGCGCCUUUUCCUUCUCCUCCUCGCUAUAUACCCUCCCCCUCGCGGGGAGGGGCAAGCGAACGAGGGGGGAGGAUGCCGGGGUGGGAGAGCGUUUUUUUUCCAACCCCUUUUCAACCAUUACCUUAACCAUGUGAUGCUGAAAGCAAAACAAAAACGAAACAUGAGACAACUUUUAACGGUGGAUCUCUUGGCUCGU
rnacentral:misc_RNA from 1 species